rnacentral:rRNA from 1 species
GGGUUGUGAGGUUAAGCGACUAAGCGUACACGGUGGAUGCCCUGGCAGUCAGAGGCGAUGAAGGACGUGCUAAUCUGCGAUAAGCGUCGGUAAGGUGAUAUGAACCGUUAUAACCGGCGAUUUCCGAAUGGGGAAACCCAGUGUGAUUCGUCACACUAUCAUUAACUGAAUCCAUAGGUUAAUGAGGCGAACCGGGGGAACUGAAACAUCUAAGUACCCCGAGGAAAAGAAAUCAACCGAGAUUCCCCCAGUAGCGGCGAGCGAACGGGGAGCAGCCCAGAGCCUGAAUCAGUGUGUGUGUUAGUGGAAGCGUCUGGAAAGGCGUGCGAUACAGGGUGACAGCCCCGUACACAAAAAUGCACAUACUGUGAGCUCGAUGAGUAGGGCGGGACACGUGGUAUCCUGUCUGAAUAUGGGGGGACCAUCCUCCAAGGCUAAAUACUCCUGACUGACCGAUAGUGAACCAGUACCGUGAGGGAAAGGCGAAAAGAACCCCGGCGAGGGGAGUGAAAAAGAACCUGAAACCGUGUACGUACAAGCAGUGGGAGCACGCUUAGGCGUGUGACUGCGUACCUUUUGUAUAAUGGGUCAGCGACUUAUAUUCUGUAGCAAGGUUAACCGAAUAGGGGAGCCGAAGGGAAACCGAGUCUUAACUGGGCGUUAAGUUGCAGGGUAUAGACCCGAAACCCGGUGAUCUAGCCAUGGGCAGGUUGAAGGUUGGGUAACACUAACUGGAGGACCGAACCGACUAAUGUUGAAAAAUUAGCGGAUGACUUGUGGCUGGGGGUGAAAGGCCAAUCAAACCGGGAGAUAGCUGGUUCUCCCCGAAAGCUAUUUAGGUAGCGCCUCGUGAAUUCAUCUCCGGGGGUAGAGCACUGUUUCGGCAAGGGGGUCAUCCCGACUUACCAACCCGAUGCAAACUGCGAAUACCGGAGAAUGUUAUCACGGGAGACACACGGCGGGUGCUAACGUCCGUCGUGAAGAGGGAAACAACCCAGACCGCCAGCUAAGGUCCCAAAGUCAUGGUUAAGUGGGAAACGAUGUGGGAAGGCCCAGACAGCCAGGAUGUUGGCUUAGAAGCAGCCAUCAUUUAAAGAAAGCGUAAUAGCUCACUGGUCGAGUCGGCCUGCGCGGAAGAUGUAACGGGGCUAAACCAUGCACCGAAGCUGCGGCAGCGACGCUUAUGCGUUGUUGGGUAGGGGAGCGUUCUGUAAGCCUGUGAAGGUGUGCUGUGAGGUAUGCUGGAGGUAUCAGAAGUGCGAAUGCUGACAUAAGUAACGAUAAAGCGGGUGAAAAGCCCGCUCGCCGGAAGACCAAGGGUUCCUGUCCAACGUUAAUCGGGGCAGGGUGAGUCGACCCCUAAGGCGAGGCCGAAAGGCGUAGUCGAUGGGAAACAGGUUAAUAUUCCUGUACUUGGUGUUACUGCGAAGGGGGGACGGAGAAGGCUAUGUUGGCCGGGCGACGGUUGUCCCGGUUUAAGCGUGUAGGCUGGUUUUCCAGGCAAAUCCGGAAAAUCAAGGCCGAGGCGUGAUGACGAGGCACUACGGUGCUGAAGCAACAAAUGCCCUGCUUCCAGGAAAAGCCUCUAAGCAUCAGGUAACAUCAAAUCGUACCCCAAACCGACACAGGUGGUCAGGUAGAGAAUACCAAGGCGCUUGAGAGAACUCGGGUGAAGGAACUAGGCAAAAUGGUGCCGUAACUUCGGGAGAAGGCACGCUGAUACGUAGGUGAAGCGACUUGCUCGUGGAGCUGAAAUCAGUCGAAGAUACCAGCUGGCUGCAACUGUUUAUUAAAAACA